ensembl:lncRNA
GCGGGAUGUAAAGUAAAAGGAAAAACACUAAAAAUGUUGUUUUUUUGGACUGUGACAAAGAGCUUUUUAAAUGAGUUUGGGCAUUUUUAGUGUCUGACUCAUGUCUGGAGAUUUCUGCUAUAUUCCAGAAUCCUUUAACUUUUGUGUUUUUUCUUUCUGCCUUUGACAAUGACACACUAAUAGCUUCAGGCUUCCUACUGCCUUCUCGUGCAUAUUGCCCUCCUUUGUUUUCUGUUAGAGACAAAAUGUCAGAAUUUUAGAUGGUGGUUUUUGUGAUCAUGGCAAGAGUUAAGGAAAUUUUGGUGGAUCCAGUGAUGACUGAUUGGAGCUUCUUCAGCCUGAGUUUCCACAUUUCAUCUUUGGUUGUCUUUUGUUUCAUGAGACCACACCAUAAACUCAUACCAGGAACGAGGAAACACAUCUCUGAGAGCCACUGAACUAUCACACAUAUUGCAGCCAUGUAGUGUGCUGUUAGCGUGCACAUCAGCUCAACAGGAAAAGCACAGACAUGCUCCUCCUCAGAACAUCCUGUCCAUCCAUGCUACAUUGGUGCUUGAUAAAAGGGUGCCCAGAAAGAGAGUGAUAUGGACAUUAAUGUCUUCACUUUUGCAUUUGAUGGCAAGGAGUUUUGACAAGUGAACACCCAUACUGGAUAGAAGGUCCAAUUGUACCCAGCAAGAAAAGAGUGGUGGGUGUGAGAGAGAAACAACAAAAGGCUGAAGUCUUUACUUACUGACAUAACUCAGAAGUAAUUCUUUUGAUGGCACCGAAUUUACAGUGGUGUCAACCUGAUAGUGGAAGAUGUCUAAAGAUGGCAAAGACAGAUGAGCAGGAGGUUGGCAACAGGAUGCAGAAUAAAGUGAGAACAGAUGCACAUAGGAUGAGAGUAAAAAUAGAACAAAGCCCAGAGCCACAAUUUUGCUGCAAGAGCAGCAAACUAUUAAUCGCAGCACCAAGUGACAGAGCCUGCAGCACCCAAGCAGCCAUAGUCCUGCAUCUUUGCAAAUUACACAUACAUUGACAGAAAAAAAACUGUACAAGCUCUCCCACAUUUCACUAAAUGAAGGCUCUAACUGAUUGUGUAAAAGUGAGGAGGAGCUCCUAGCGUCACUGUACAAAGCUAAGAGGCUUCCAGAGAUGUUAAAUUGGAUCUGACCAUCAUCUUGUAGGCUCCAAAUGAAGCUGGCGG